UACGUAGGGUGCAAGCGUUAAUCGGAAUUACUGGGCGUAAAGCGUGCGCAGGCGGUUGUGCAAGACAGAUGUGAAAUCCCCGGGCUUAACCUGGGAACCGCAUUUGUGACUGCACGGCUAGAGUGUGUCAGAGGGGGGUAGAAUUCCACGUGUAGCAGUGAAAUGCGUAGAUAUGUGGAGGAAUACCGAUGGCGAAGGCAGCCCCCUGGGAUAACACUGACGCUCAUGCACGAAAGCGUGGGGAGCAAACAGG
rnacentral:rRNA from 1 species